UGCUGAUUUAAAAUUUGAAUAUAACAUUGAAGCAUCAACAAUAUAAACAAAUUAUUGCACAAAACAAUCUAUCAUAACAAAAAUCAUUAACAUCAUUAAGUUUUACAAAGGGAACAACCAUUUAAAGGCAUUCUUUUAUUCAGAUUUUUUUUACACCUAAUUAAACAAUUAACAUUAAAAUUAUGUCAAAAACUAAAUCAGAAUAUUUUUCUUCAUUUUACUUGAUCAAAAUAUUUUGAAAGUUUGGAAUCAGAAUAUAGUUUUAUAGAAAUAUCUAUCCCCUCCCCCUACAGAGAUAAAAAUAAUUGUUCUCUUUAAACUCAAUGCAUUACACUUAAAAUGUUUCACAAAACAAAACAAUAGCAGAAAAAAUGAAACACCUGUUCAAAAAGUUGAUUUUUUUUUUUAACAAACUGACUUAUGUGAAAAUAAAAAGCUUGUUUUCUCAGGAUUCUAAAUGUUUAGAACUAUUUCAAAAACUGAUUUAGUUUAAGAUUAGCUGAUUGUGUAUAAUAAUUUAUUGUAAAAAUUCUAAUAUUAUUGGUCUAGGUGAUUAUCAUUUUAAAAGAACAUUUACUUUUUUAAUUUAUAAUUUGCUUCCAAUCAAACCCUUUAUUGACUUGUAAAAUAAUAAUUUGAUUGAGUGUUGAAGAGACUUCACUAAUAAAAACACAAAAAUCACUAAUAAAAUAAUCCGAAACUAUAUAUUAUUGGUAAAUUUCUUGAAAUGUUAUCGAAUAGAUUGAUGUGCUCAAUGCACAGUGUUUUAGCUCUCAUAAAUAGUGAAACGGUUUGUAAAAUAUAGCUAGCUAAACAGUUUUGAAAAUAUGGCCCAAUUAGGCGUGUUGAUUGCAUUUAUGAUCUUUACCUAAAAAAAAGCCCCACCAAAAACAAUAGAAUAUAUCAGGCAUUAAAUAAAUAUAAAAUAACUGAAAAGUGCUCACAAUUCAACUUAAAAAUAUUAACAUAUCAAUAUAUAAUUAUUCUACCAAAAGUUACACUAAAAACAAGAAAAACUAUCAUAUCUACAUUGUUUAAUACUGUUAUAAUACUUAAACUUGUAGGAUGCCAACACAUGAUAUAUGUGUGGUUCAAAACUAGGCAUAUUGCAAGUUAAUAGACAAUUAUGAUAGGAAUUCAACUACAAAAUCGUUGAAAACAAAGAAUGAGAUUACUCUAAAGUAACUUUCUACAUUAUUAUAAAAUGUUAAAUUUAUACAAUAGUAUAGUAUAGUACGUUUCAUAGUAAAGUGCACAUUUAAUCCAGAAAUUUCAUAAAAAUGAAAAUCAAAUGGUGAUGACAGUAGUGUAGUAGGUUAAAUAUUGGGAAAAUGGGAAGUUCAGGAUCUAUGAAUAUAACUCUGCCAAACAGACAGACAGAGGUAGUAAAACAGGGAGGGGAUAUAAAACUACAAUUGCAAAACGUUUAUGAAAAGAUCCAGAACAAUGCUAAUAUUUUUUUCAUUCAGUACUUUACAUUAUCAAACAUAUAACAAUACACAUAUUAAACAUACAAUAAAAAACAGAAGGUUUCAUUAUUUUAUAUAUAACUAUAAAACAAAAUUAUAAUUAUCUAAAAUAUUCUGCAUAAAGAACAAGGUUCACUUAUGGCACAAAAUGGCCUAAAAUAUCAACUUUAUCGUAAAACAACAAAAAGACCACAAUGUGGUUCAUGAAUGGGUAUAUUUGAAAAGCCUAUAAUAUUGCUAAAUAAAUCAGUUCUUUUCAUAAAAGCACAUAAUAUUCUCCAAAGUAUUAAAGCCCAUUUUAGACAUUUUGUCAAAAUAUGAUGAUAUUGUGCAAUUUUCAGACCUGAAAGCUUUGGGAAAACCUUGGGUGCCGCCUGCAAUCCAAAAUGUUUAGUAACAAAAGAUUCCAAUUUAGAUAUAAAAUUCAUCAAUAUAAAAACUUUUUGGAUCGUGGAUGGAGGCCAAGGUUAAUUAUGCCAAAAACAAUUAAAAUUAUGGAAAGAAUUUACCAAAAUUGACAUUAAAUUAAAAAUAAUGUUUAUUUCAGGGGUCAUGGCUUCCUAAAUUUUAAAGGAUGGUGCCAAAAAAAAAAAAAAAUUUAUGUUAACAAUAUUCCCACAAGUAUUUCUAUGUGAAAUUUGUAAUUUUUUGGCCCGAUUUAAAAAACAUAAAAAAUUUAGGGCCAAUUUUAACCCUUUGUGAACCUUCUCCUUUAUUGUACAUCUUAAAAAACAUGCUUGUCAUACUUUACCCCAAAUGGCAAUAGGAGAAUUAAAAGAUAAAGUCUACCAAUGGUGUUCUCCCUAUUAUCCUCUAUUGGAGAUGUUAAUUAUCCAUCAAUAUUAAAACUCUUUUUUGUAUAAGAAAAAUAUUGCCCAACAGAUGCUUAAAACCACAUUUACCUCCCAUUAAAAUUAUGAAAUGAGUAAGGAAGGAAUAUAUUAUGUUUAAUUUUCAUGUGAUAGAACGUCACAAAUAGGCAAUAAACUACAUUUCCUUUAAUAAUAACUUAUCAUUAAUGGGGGGAAGUUGUAUAUGUUAGACCUUGUUCACACAAGGACAUUUAGAUUAAUUCAAACUAGAUUGGCUCACUUAAGAUCGGUUUAAUGGCUAAUGUGAUUCUUUGAAUCGAUCUUCAAUCGGUCUAAACUAAAACACCAAAAGAGCUUUUUCAGUUUGAAUUGAUCUAAAGUGAACUGAGCUAACUGAAAGUCUGAACGCAAAGAUCCAUUUAAAUUAGUAUGAUUGAAACGAAAAUAACUUAUGGGCAUGUUUAGUGGAAAAACUACACAUAUAAUAAAUUAACAUCCCUGUAUAUAUUGGUGGUUAGGUGUUUAAGGGCAUCGAUACAGUUUUGAUCCUGUAUUUACAAGUUCGUGAAAAUUUGCAUAUAGGCUAUUUUUUACCUGAUUAAAUCAAAUAUGUAAUAAAAAAUAUACCUUCAUGUGCUACUUUUUGAGUAAAAUGAGGUCGAAAUUUUGUAUAUUUGCUCAAAAUUCAGAUUUGUGGCCAUAAUUUUUUUUUCGAAAGAAAGACAUAAC
rnacentral:lncRNA from 1 species